GAGAGUAUAGCUCAGUGAUAGAGCACAUGCUUAGCAUGCACGAUGUCCUGGGUUCAGUCCCCAGUGCCUCCA
rfam:Camelus ferus unplaced genomic scaffold scaffold2075, whole genome shotgun sequence.